AUGAGCCCCUCUUCCAGAACUAGGAAUGAACUUUCCCCAGUACCAACAAGGCAGCCUCCCGGGCAAGAAAAGGUAACGGGAUCCAUCCUGCUGACAUCCAAGAUGGAAUUACAGGGUGCCUCCGACAUCUGCACAGCGCACACAACCAAGCUUAGGAACCCACUGUUAAGAUGCCCAAGUGACACAGACAAGUUUCUCCUCUGCGAGCCAAUGAGAUCUGCUGACAGAGCAUCGCGGGACCACUUAAGGAUUCUGGAAAAUGUGGUCCUGGGUGGUCACUGUCCACUGACCUUCGCCUGUAGGAACUCCUCCUCAAAACAGAGGAAGCCUAUAGGACUUUAACCUGGAAGCUACUCAGGGAAUCUGGAAUAUUCCUUCCGGGGAUAUCUACAAUUGAAACCUGGCAGUAACUUAAAACAAACCAGACAAUUCUUGGGGUAUGGCUGGAGCCUGAGGUCUACCGAUGGGUCAUUUUAUAUCCUGAGGUUUGAACAAGAUGAUUUUAACCCCUUAAAAUGAGGGAAACAAAAUAAAACAGAAUAAAUUGGAAGAGAACACAGAUGAGUGGUUUGAAGGGCCUACUUGCCGUGUUUCCUCUGGUCUUCAGGUCUCCUCGCUGCUGGGGGAUCCAGUGCAGCUCUAGACCAAGAAAUGGGAGGAUGUUAGAGUGACUGCUGAUUUCGCUAUCACCUGCAGUUAGUAAACAUUCUCCUCAGUGUAU
rnacentral:lncRNA from 1 species